GGGUGUUCAGCAUGGCUCCGCCUCGGCAGUUCUUUGCGUGGUUUGCCCAGAGUAGGACGUGGUUCGGGAGGGCCUCUGCUCCACUUCCAGAUGCGGCCAGUUGGGCCCUGCUUCAGGGAUCCAGAAAAGGGCCCGUGCGUAGCCUGCAGUGGUUCCAGAGCCUGUAACGUGCCAGAAACGCAUUACACGUGGUCAUAAAGUACCAUGGGAUAUUCAGACACUGGGCUGCUUACUGGUUAUGUACAGACAUUACAAUAAAAAAUGUACAGAUGUACGUGGCGGCUUCAAGUCAAACCCAGCCUCUCACUAUAAAGGCAGAAGAUGGCACAGAGUUCUUCAGAAAGUUAUCCCAAGAGUAUUUUUGGACCAGGGAAGUGGAUAUACGCAACAGGAGACUGCCUUUUCUCAGGGAAGAAAAAAUAAUUGUACAGAAGGAAAACUGCAGUACAAAGAAAAGCCAGUACCAACACGACUUCCAACAGACUGGUCUGCCAAGUUCUCAGCUGGGAAUAAAUAGUCUCUGGAGGAGCCCAGGAUCUGCAG
rnacentral:lncRNA from 1 species